CUGCACUGUUUUCUUCUCUGAAAAUGCUCAAAGAGAGUCCAACCCAAGUCUCCUUCAAAUCCUGCACACCACAUAACUUGCAGAACAACCUGCUGGCACAGUCAGAAAUAAAUUUCAAAAGUGGUAUUACUGUAAGAGCCUUCUAAAAGAUAUUCCUCACUUCAGAGAACUUUCUACAGUAUGGUAUUUGCAGUACUAGUAGCAGUAGAAGCUGUCAGUAUUAAAAACGUAUAUUAAGAACAGUUGGCUGGAGGAGGUAGGGAUAAGGGAAAGAAAACAAUGGACGAAUUUAGUUCUGAACCGAGGAAAGUUCUUCAAACAUGAAGUCCUUCAUUAGUGAAGGCAAGUUAAAGUUUUAAGUCACCUCUAUGCUUCAAGUUUUUCUUUCUUCUGUGACACUGCUCCAUCUCCAAAUAAACUUUAAAUUUAUGUAUUUUUCCUAAAUCACAUUAAGUUACAUAAAAACUAAUGCCCCUAUACUCUUGAAAGUUCACAUACUAAUCAAUACUCUUUGAACCCAAACCUAAAUAGGAUAGCUGAGUCUCCUACCUCAAAAAAUCAUCCUGCUUUAUUAGUUUAUACAAGUGUCACCAUCCAUCCCCUCUAUCAGGUUCAGGAAACCUUCACAAAUUACAUGCAAAUAUGUCUACUCAUGCCUAUCUUUAGUGGAUUUGUAACCAGACCACAAAUUAAUGCUAUAUGAUUGCGGUUGAGAACCACCUUUUUUUUCCCUUCCCCAUUUUGUGUCAUGAUGCCCAAAUGCAAUUGAAAGCUGGAACUAGCUAGCCCCAUGUAGUUCUCAGACCAAUUAAUAUAAUUCUAGAACCCUGAAAAUAUAGUAGGGAAGUGCACACGUCU